UGGGGAAUAUUGCACAAUGGGCGCAAGCCUGAUGCAGCCAUGCCGCGUGUGUGAAGAAGGCCUUCGGGUUGUAAAGCACUUUCAGCGAGGAGGAAGGUGGUGAGCUUAAUACGCUCAUCAAUUGACGUUACUCGCAGAAGAAGCACCGGCUAACUCCGUGCCAGCAGCCGCGGUAAUACGGAGGGUGCAAGCGUUAAUCGGAAUUACUGGGCGUAAAGCGCACGCAGGCGGUUUGUUAAGUCAGAUGUGAAAUCCCCCGGGCUCAACCUGGGAACUGCAUUUGAAACUGGCAAGCUAGAGUCUCGUAGAGGGGGGUAGAAUUCCAGGUGUAGCGGUGAAAUGCGUAGAGAUCUGGAGGAAUACCGGUGGCGAAGGCGGCCCCCCUGGACGAAGACUGACGCUCAGGUGCGAAAGCGUGGGGCAGCAAACAGGAUUAGAUACCCUGGUAGUCCACGCUGUAAACGAUGUCGAUUUGGAGGUUGUGCCCCUUGAGGCGUGGCUUCCGGAGCUAACGCGUUAAAUCGACCGCCUGGGGAGUACGGCCGCAAGGUUAAAACUUAAAUGAAUUG
rnacentral:rRNA from 1 species